UUAAUGGAUUUAGAUGGUACGACACGUAAUUUAAGUGUAAUAUCGCAUUACACGGUGCUCUCAACACGAAGUUCAUGGCGCUAUAUGGGCGCGUCACGCUACAUUAUUUCCUCAUUAUUCCAUGACAGAUACGAGAAUUAGCGUCAACGAUUAUUAUAACAAACUAAUGCACGGACAAUGUGCAAUAGAUCGGAGAGAAUGAUCAUGUUCUGGGGAAUUACCAGGAUGAAAAGCCCCAUGUCUGCACUGGAAAUGUUCUGGAAAAUUAUCAUCACACGAUUAAUCUCACAUCCAAAAAAGAUGAGAAGCAUGCAAUUAAAAAUUACAAAUUUUCGCCAUCGAACAAUUGUUUCCAGAUUGAUAUAUUGAUAUGGUAGAAUUAAUUGGAAGUGAAUUGAACAAUAAAUUUUUCUUCAUGAGUGACUAGAAGCAACAGGUCCCGGAGGAAAUGUACGAUCCCGGGAGGGAAAAGACUAACAGUGCAAUUAAAUUAUUCAGAGUGGUGGCGCGACUGGCAAAUGCACACAGGCCAGCCACUACAUAUUUCCAACGAAUGGUACAAGUAUGGGAUGCUUUGUGAUCCCAUACAGUUUCCAACAGUGGAAUUUCGUGUCUGAAAUGGAGGGCCUGUUAAACUAGAGAUGUGGAUGUGUUUGGUGUGCACUACUUAGAGAGGUAAUACUCUCAGUACGCCAGCAACAACACUUUGCCACUGUCAUAUCACUUUCCACUGACAGCAAGUCAUAUUGUAACCGGAUGACAACAUUACCUUGUAGACAGUUGUGGAAUUUAGUCUCGAUUAAAUUUGUGGGAAAUAGGGGACAGCGAAUUGUUAUUUCAAAAUUUAUGCGACGCGUAUCGAAUUGACAGUCCGUUACCGAUUUUUCGGUUAAAAAUUUUUAUCCAUAUAAUUUUCCGAGUCCCGGCGUUUAUCCGAUUAAUGCACCUUUUUUUAUUUUGCUGACAAAACCAUAACGGAAGUGUGAAAAAAAUGCGGAUGAACUUCAUGGAGAAAGAUCCGGUCGGCAAACUGACAAAAGACAAAUAUUUACCCCGGCACUCGACCGAUCUUGGAGACCUUCGCGUAGUUCUGCAAUUGUUGGAGAGUCUCAAAAAACAUUGCCACCAUCAAGCAAUACAUAUGAAGAGAACGUUGUGAAGUUUAUUUCGCAGCAUCUUGGAUGUAUUUAUAUGUUUCGUACACCAACAACUUCUGGUACGUAACUGUUGCCCAGGGUGAAGAGUUGCCCCGCAGGCACCACCUUAUAUUUCACUCAACUUUGUUGCACGUUGAAAACCCUAGGUGCUCAAAACUUAACGCCAUAUCCAACAUCCAAUCUUUCCAUCAAACUAAUUAAUCAUUCCCGGGUAAAAAAAAAUUGUA